rnacentral:lncRNA from 1 species
CUACAGCCAGAGACACAAGGCGGGUUUUGUUUUGUUGUAAGUUUAGCCAUUGCUACUUCCUUGUAGACGCAUGUGUCGACUAGACCAUCCGUUCUACUUGAUUCAAAACCCCAUAUUGUUAUCGUGAUUCAUAUCAGAUCCUUCUUGUAUUAUUUGGCAAUUGAGUGCCUGUUCUACCUGUUCUUGCAUGUUCUUCGAUUGCGUGCAGGAAUUACCCUAGUGGUUUGGUUGGUUGUGAUCAACAAGAUUGUGAUCAACCGCUGGAAUUGGUGUAUCGAUCACUAAGGCGCAGCGUCCUUGGACGGUUGUAGUCGGAUCGUGAAUGUCGCUCCAGAGAGAUCGAAGUUAUCCAUCUCCACCGAAAGAUCGGGACACCCUCGUUCUUAUUAAGUACCAUCGGGUGUGUCCAAAAUUGUUUCUUAGUCUAUGGUGAACUAGGCGCAAACCGUGUACCUAUCUUGCACCAAAACUAACAAUGUCUCUAAACAGACCGAAGCAAGAUUCCAUAUGACACACGUCAUCAAGGAGUUCUAUCAGGUGCGUCCAAAUUGAUUUUUGAGCAUAUAGUACGUUCCAUGCAAACUGUGCACCUAUCUUGCAUCAAGAUUAGCACUAUCUCCAAAUAGACCAAACCAAGAUUUCACUUGAACCCUUUUACCUAGGAGUACCAUCGGGUGCAUCCAAAAUGCUUUCUUAGCCUAUGGUGCAUUAGGCGCAAACAGUACGCCUAUCUUGCCCCAAAACUAACACUGUCUCCAAACGGACCAAUGUGAGAAUACAUAUGACACACGUCAUCUAGGAGUUCCCACGGGUGCGUCCAAAUUGAUUUCCGAACCGAGCUUACAGUUGAGCCUCUUCACCUAGGAUGAUGAGGACAUCCCUAGCAUUCAUUCAUCUUCAAAUGAAACUCCACUUGAUAUAAGUGGUCCAAUUACAAGAAGUAGAGCUAAACAAUUGGAGAAGGAAAUUCAUUCUCAAGUGAACGCUAACCUUAUGUUUAAUAAUCAGUUUAUGUUGAAUGAUCCUAUACUUUUGAGUUCUUGUUUCAAUGUCCUUAGGAAUGAUGGAGGGUAUGAACCAGCAUGGGAUGAAGAUGGAUUCAAGCCUUUGGACAUCUGAACCAAGAAGCCUAUCGUGUGCAUAAAUAAAAUGGUGGUUCAUUACUUCUGCAUGAGAAGGCAACCAGAAGCUAGAUGGCUGACCCAUGGUACAAAUUCCAAGCAUCACCACGGACAGAAUACAAGGAGUUACGUGGCAUUCUACAGAUGGAUGAAAGCAUCUUUAAGUCUAUGUUGCAGCCCAUCAAACGGUUCAUUAUUUAGACUUCCCAAUAAAGAGUUAUGCUCAUUUUAGUAACUGCUGCCAGAAGCUGAGAAGACGCGCGAACCAGCCACGAAAUCCACUAGUGGAUGUGCAUGCUGUCAUGUAUUCAAAGCUGAACGCCCCUAUCUAUAUAUAUCUCUUGUACUAGACAAUGAAAGGACACAUCUUGCUUGGUUAAAAUUCAGAAUACACAAACUCGUGGAGUUUUGUUUAUGCGUGAGUCUUGAGAGGCUUGCAAAACUUGUUCUUUCGAUUCCUGAGGGAGUUGUAGAACGCCGAACUGCGGUUCAUCCAGUUUGUGCCUUCACGUCUAUACGGCGUGAUUGCGUGGGCUGUUCGUCGGUACGUGGAAGGGUGAUUGUCUCGGUAGUUCGUCGCGUGGACAGCCUCGCGGUGCACUGCCUCUUCACCAGGUCACGCAGCGACAAGUUAUCAAGUUCGCGAAUCCUACGAGAAGAUCGGGCCACAACGACUUGUCUCACGCUAUCCCUAGGCGUGAGCAUAUCAUCUGGUACCAAAGCCUUCGUUUCCUCGGUAGGAUUGUUCUUGAUUUUGGUAGGAUAGAGUUUAAAUACCUACUGUCCACUGAGAGCCAAAAAGAAAACCUACAGCCCAAAUUCAUAUGUGCUACUGAUUUUGUAGUUUGCUUUAUCGAGUUUUAAUCCUUUAAUAUUUGUCUAGUUGCUGAAUUUUUCUUUUCCACAUUGUUUUAGUUAUUAUCUUUGUUCUAAUCAUCAAAUUGCUUGCUGCAUGUACCCAUCCAUCCCACCCUUGAUCUGAUCAUCAUUGCUUGCUGCGUAUAUAUAAACAAAAAAAAAUACCCACCCAUCCCACCCUUGUUUUCUAACCGCCACAUAUUCCCCACCGCAGUUUCUUGUUUUUGUGCUGCACCAUCCAUCUUAGUGAUCCCCUUUAGUUGAAAGUUGUGCUGCGUUUGACACAGAGGUUAAAAGAAAAGAUGUCUAUGGGUCAAAAGAAGGACUGAAAACGAGUUUUUGUUCCAAAAAAAAGAGAAAAAAAAGAAAAGCAAGAAAGAAAAAAAAAGAAAAACAAAAAGAGAACUGUGUGCAGCACACCAAAAAGGGGUUUGGGCAGCAACAAGUUUUCGGUUGGUGCAAAUUGGUGAUCAUCUAUCCACUUACUACAUCUCAUUCCUUUCUUUGUGCAUCCUUUCCUUUAUAUUCAGCAACUUAGACUUCUGUUCUUGGAUUAUUAUUUGGUUUUGCAUCACUACAUUUCAGUGCAUUCCACUAACAUAUUACCCCACCAAGCUCCACUUAAAGCACCGUGAGUUGUUGCACCGUCGUCGCUGUUACAAUCACUCUUCCCUACAGAUCGCAGCCCCGGUUCUUGCUCUUUUCAGGGAGAGAAAGAACUUGUUUUGUAAGUGGUGAGGGAGUGAUUCCACAUAUAUAUUGUCCUUUUUUUUUCCUCUACUAACAUGGCAGGACGUGGAGAUGGUGCCGCUGUUUCGGUGGAGGAAUUUCAGGAGUUGCGUACACAAAUGAAUGAUUUGGUGCAGCAGCUCCAAACUCUCCAAUUGAACAUACCACGUCGAGAAACACCACCAAAAUGAGUGCUUAUUUGUGAGCAGGAGUGAUUUGAGAGAAGUGACGAACACCACAGCCCCAUUCUUUGUGCUCUUGCACAAGGAGGUCCUACUUUCAACUAACGAUUUACCUUCAUCGCUGCCUAGUGCUGUUCUUGAUCUCUUACAGGACUUUGAAGAUGUUUUUCCUGAUGAGGUACCAGCUGGCCUUCCUCCACUCUGUGGUAUUGAGCAUCAAAUCGAUUUGGUACCUGGAGCUUCUCUUCCCAAUCGUCCAGCCUACCGUGCUAAUUCUGAAGAAACCAAAGAAAUUCAGCGACAGGUAAAAGAGCUUUUGGACAAAGGGUAUGUUCGUGAAUCUCUAUCACCUUGUGCUGUUCCAGUACUUUUGGUCCCUAAGAAAGAUGGAUCUUGGCGCAUGUGUGUCGAUUGUCGUGCCAUUAAUGCUAUAACUGUACGAUAUUGCCAUCCCAUUCCUAGGCUUGAUGACAUGUUAGAUGAAUUGAGCGGCUCAACUAUUUUCACCAAGAUUGAUUUACGCAGUGGCUAUCACCAAAUUCGCAUGAAAAUUGGUGAUGAAUGGAAGACAGCAUUUACAACCAAAUUUGGCUUGUAUGAAUGGCUUGUGAUGCCCUUUGGCUUGACAAAUGCUCCUUCAACUUUUAUGCGCUUAAUGAAUCAUGUUUUACGAGCUUUCAUUGGCAAGUUUGUAGUUGUUUAUUUUGAUGAUAUUCUGAUCUAUAGCAAAUCAUUUGAUGAACAUCUUGAUCAUAUCCAUCAAGUACUUGCUGUUUUGAGGGAAGAGAAAUUGUAUGCCAACAUUGCUAAGUGCACAUUUUGCACAGAUCGUGUUGUUUUUCUUGGUUUUGUUGUGACUGCAGAUGGCAUCCAGGUUGAUGAAGAGAAGGUUAAGGCAAUAAAGGAUUGGCCUACUCCUACAAAUGUGAGCCAAAUUCGAAGUUUCCAUGGUCUUGCAGGUUUCUAUCGACGAUUUGUUAAAGAUUUCAGCACGAUCGCUGCACCACUUAACAACUUGACAAAGAAGGAUGUUCCAUUCAAAUGGGGAGAUGACCAAGAGCAAGCCUUUGUAGAGUUAAAAAGAAAGCUUUGUGAAGCACCACUGCUGCAGCUACCUAACUUCGGUAAGACUUUUGAGAUUGAAUGUGAUGCAAGUGGUAUUGGCAUUGGAGGUGUGCUACUUCAAGAAGGUAAACCUAUUGCCUACUUUUCUGAAAAGUUAAAUGGUCCACAUCUGAAUUAUUCUGUCUAUGAUAAAGAGCUUUAUGCCUUAGUUCGAGUUUUGGAAGUUUGGCAACAUUAUUUGUUACCUAAAGAAUUUGUCAUCCAUUCUGAUCAUGAAGCUUUGAAAUAUUUAAAAAGUCAAGGCAAACUGAAUCGUAGACAUGCUAAAUGGAUCGAGUUCAUAGAAACAUUUCCGUAUGUUGUUAAACAUAAGCGUGGUAAAGAUAACAUUGUUGCAGAUGCUUUGUCAAGAAGGUGUGGUUUGGUUACACAAUUAGAUACAAAAGUGCUUGGUUUGGAAUCCAUUAAAACACUCUAUGCAACUGAUUCUGAUUUUAAAGAACCUUUCUCUCAUUGCAUUGCUGGAAAAGGCUGGGACAAGUAUUAUGUACAUGAUGAUUUUUUAUUUCGAACUAACAAACUAUGCAUUCCAGCCUGGUCGAUUCGUCAAGUUCUUUUACAGGAAGCACAUGCUGGUGGCUUAGCUGGUCAUUUUGGCAUCAAAAAGACAUUGGACAUGCUCUCUGAUCAUUUCUUUUGGCCACAUAUGCGACGUGAUGUUCAACGACAUGUCGAGCGCUGCAUAAUCUGCUUGAAAGCUAAGUCCCGCCUUAAUCCCCAUGGUCUCUAUACUCCAUUACCAAUCCCAACUGUACCUUGGGAAGAUAUAUCCAUGGAUUUUAUUCUGGGAUUACCAAGGUCUCAGAGGGGGAGGGACUCUAUCUUCGUUAUUGUUGAUCGCUUCUCAAAAAUGGCACAUUUUAUUCCAUGUCACAAGAGCGAUGAUGCUUCACACGUUGCUGAUUUGUUUUUCAGGGAGAUUGUUCGUUUACAUGGAGUGCCAAAGACCGUUUCAGACCGAGAUACAAAAUUCCUGAGCUAUUUUUGGAAGACAUUAUGGGCUAAACUUGGCACGAAGUUGUUAUUUUCCACCACUUGUCACCCACAAACGGAUGGGCAAACUGAAGUUGUCAACCGUACCCUGUCCACCAUGCUGCGUGCCGUGCUAAAAAAGAAUUUGAAGCAGUGGGAAGAAUGUCUUCCACAUGUCGAAUUUGCUUAUAAUAGGGCACUACAUUCCACAACAAAUUUUUGUCCAUUUGAAAUUGUUUAUGGUUUUAAGCCACAUACUCCCAUGGAUCUUUUGCCUUUACCAUUACAGGAACAAGUUAACUUGGAUGCAGCGAAGAGAUCCAACUUUAUCAAGAAGCUACAUGAUGAGACAAGAAGAAAUAUUGAGAAGAAAUCAGCACAAUAUGCAAAGCAAGCGAACAAAGGUAAGAAGAAGGUUACAUUUCAGCCCGGUGACCUCGUGUGGUUGCAUCUACGCAAGGAUCGAUUUCCCCAACAACGUAAGAGUAAGUUAUCACCUAGAGGUGAUGGUCCAUUCAAGGUUCUAAAAAAGAUAAAUGAUAAUGCAUACAAAAUUGAGCUGCCACCUGAAUAUUCCAAUGUUAGUCCAACAUUCAAUGUCAAAGACUUGCUUCCAUUUGUUGGUGAGCCUGAGUCGAGGACGACUCCUUCUCAAGAGGGGGAGGCUGAUGAGGACAUCCCUAGCAUUCAUUCAUCUUCAAAUGAAACUCCACUUGAUAUAAGUGGUCCAAUUACAAGAAGUAGAGCUAAACAAUUGGAGAAGGAAAUUCAUUCUCAGGUGAACGCUAACCUUAUGUUUAAUAAUCAGUUUAUGUUGAAUGAUCCUAUACUUUUGAGUUCUUGUUUCAAUGUCCUUAGGAAUGAUGGAGGGUAUGAACCAGCAUGGGAUGAAGAUGGAUUCAAGCCUUUGGACAUCUGAACCAAGAAGCCUAUCGUGUGCAUAAAUAAAAUGGUGGUUCAUUACUUCUGCAUGAGAAGGCAACCAGAAGCUAGAUGGCUGACCCAUGGUACAAAUUCCAAGCAUCACCACGGACAGAAUACAAGGAGUUACGUGGCAUUCUACAGAUGGAUGAAAGCAUCUUUAAGUCUAUGUUGCAGCCCAUCAAACGGUUCAUUAUUUAGACUUCCCAAUAAAGAGUUAUGCUCAUUUUAGUAACUGCUGCCAGAAGCUGAGAAGACGCGCGAACCAGCCACGAAAUCCACUAGUGGAUGUGCAUGCUGUCAUGUAUUCAAAGCUGAACGCCCCUAUCUAUAUAUAUCUCUUGUACUAGACAAUGAAAGGACACAUCUUGCUUGGUUAAAAUUCAGAAUACACAAACUCGUGGAGUUUUGUUUAUGCGUGAGUCUUGAGAGGCUUGCAAAACUUGUUCUUUCGAUUCCUGAGGGAGUUGUAGAACGCCGAACUGCGGUUCAUCCAGUUUGUGCCUUCACGUCUAUAGGGCGUGAUUGCGUGGGCUGUUCGUCGGUACGUGGAAGGGUGAUUGUCUCGGUAGUUCGUCGCGUGGACAGCCUCGCGGUGCACUGCCUCUUCACCAGGUCACGCAGCGACAAGUUAUCAAGUUCGCGAAUCCUACGAGAAGAUCGGGCCACAACGACUUGUCUCACGCUAUCCCUAGGCGUGAGCAUAUCAUAGGAGUACCAUCGAGUGCGUCCAAAAUGGUUUCAUAGCCUAUGGUGCAUUAGGCACAAACCAUGCACCUAUCUUGCUCCGAAACUAACACUGUCUCCAAACGGACCAAAGCGAGAUUCCAUAUGACACACGUCAUCUAGGAGUUCCAUCGAGUGCGUUUAAAUUGAUUUCCGAGCAUAUGGUACGUUCCAUGCAAACGGGCACCUAUAUUUCCUAAAGAUUAGCACUAUCUCUAAACAGACCAAACCAAGCUUCCACUUGCGCCCCUUCACCUCAGAGUACCAUCGGGUGUGUCCAAAUUGGUUUCUUAGCCUAUGCUGCAUUAGGUGCAAACCGUGCACCUAGCUUGCACCGAAACAAACACUAUCUCCAAACGGACCAAAGCGAGAUUACAUAUGACACACGUCAUCUACAAGUUCCAUCGGGUGUGUCCAAAUUGAUUUCUGAGCAUAUGGUAUGUUCCAUGCAAACCGUGCAACUAUCUUGCAUCAAGAUUUACACUAUCUCCAAACAGACCGAACUGAGCUUCUACUUGAGCCUCUUCACCUAGGAGUACCAUUGGGUGUGUCCAAAAUGGUUUCUUAGAGAUAGUGCAUUAGCAGCAAACCAUGCACCUAUCUUGCAUCGAAACUAACACUAUCUCCAAAUAGACCAAAGCGAGAUUCCACAUAACACACAUCAUCUAGGAGUUCUAUCGGGUGCGUGCAAAUUGAUUUUUGAGCAUAUGGUAUGUUCCAUACAAACCGUGCACCUAUCUUACAUGAAGAUUAGCACUAUCUCCAAAUAGACCGUAUCAAGCUUUACUUGAGCCACUUCACCUACGAGUACAUCGGGUGCUUCCACAACGGUUUCUAAGCCUAUAGUGCAUUAGGCGCAAACCGUGCACCUAUCUUGCACCGAAACAAACAUAAUCUCCAAAUGGACCAAAGUGAGAUUCCAUAUGACACACGUCCUCAAGGAGUUCCAUCAGGUGUGUCCAAAAUGGUUUCUUAGCCUAUGGUGCAUUAGGCCUGUGUACCUAUCUUGCACCAAAACUAACAAUGUCUCUAAACGGACCCAAGCAAGAUUCCAUAUGACACACGUCAUCUGGGAGUUCCAUUUGGUCAGUCCAAAUUGAUUUCCGAGCAUAUCGUACGUUCCAUGUAAACCGUGCACCUAUCUUGCAUCAAGUUUAGCACUAUCUCUGAACAGACCAAACCGAGCUUCCACUUAAGCCUAUUCACCUAAAAGUACCAUCGGGUGCGUCUAAAAUGGUUUCUUAGCCUAUGGUGCACUAGGCACAAACCGUGCACAUAUCUUGCACUAAAACUAACACUACCUCCAAAAGGAACAAAGCAAGAUUCCAUACGACAAACGUCAUCAAGGAGUUCUAUCGCGUGCGUCCAAAUUGAAUUUUGAGCAUAUGGUACGUUCCAUGCAAACCAUGCACCUAUCUUGCAUCAAGAUUAGCACUAUCUCCAAACAGACCAAACCAAGCUUUCAUUUGAGCCCCUCUACCAAGGAGUACCAUCGGCUGCAUCCAAAAUGGUUUCUUAGCCUAUGGUGCAUUAGGCGCAAACGGUACACCUAUGUUGCACCGAAACUAACACUAUCUUCAAACAGACCGAAGCGAGAUUCCAUAUGACACGAGUCAUCUAGAAGUUCUAUUUGGUGCGUCCAAAUUAAUUUCCAAGCAUAUGGUACGUUACAUGCAAACCAUGCACCUAUCUUACAUGAAGAUUAGGACUAUCUCCAAACAGACAAAACAUAGACAAAACCUAGGAGAACCAUCGGGUGCGUCCAAAAUGGUUUGUUAGCCUAUGGUGCAUUAGGCACAAACCGUGCACUUAUCUUGCACCAAAACUAACGAUGUGUCCAAACGGACCAAAGCGAGAUACAUAUGACACACCUCAUCUAGGAGUUGGAGUUCCAUUGGGUGCGUCCAAAUUGAUUUCCAAGCAUAUGGUACGUUCCAUGCAAACCGUGCAGAGUUAUCUUGCAUCAAGUUAGCACUAUCUCCAAACAGACCGAACCAAGCUUCCACUUGAGCCUCUUCACCUAGGAGUACCAUCGAGUGUGUCCAAAAUAUUUUCUUAGAGUAUGGUGCAUUAGGCGCAAACCAUGCAUCUAUCUUGCACCCAAACUAAAACUAUCUCCAAACAGACAAAGUGAGAUUCUGGAUGACACACAUCAUCUAGGAGUUCUAUUCGUUGCGUCCAUAUUGUUUUUUGAGCAUAUGUUAUGUUCCAUGCAAACCGUGCACCUAUCAUACAUAAAGAUUAGCACUAUCUCCAAACAAACCGUACUGAGCUUCCACUUGAGCCCCUUCGCCUAGGAGUACCAUCGGGUGUGUCCAAAAUGGUUUCUUAGCCUAUGGUGCAUUAGGCGCAAACUGUGCACCUAUCUUGCACCGAAACUAACACUGUCUCCAAACGAACGAAAGUGAGAUUCCAUAUGACACACGUCAUCUAGAAGUUCCAUCGGGUGUCCAAAUUGAUUUCUUAGCAUAUGGUACGUUCCUUGCAAACUGUGCAUCUAUCUUGCAUCAAGAUUAGCAAUAUCUCCAAACAUACCAAACUGAGCUUCCACUUGAGCCUCUUCACCCAGUAGUACAAAUAGGUGCAUCCAAAAUGGUUUCUUAGACUAUGGUGCAUUCGGCACAAACUAUGCACCUAGCUUGCACCAAAACUAACAGUCUCCAAAUGAACUGAAGCAAGAUUCCAUAUGACACACGUCGUCUAGGAGUUCCAUCGGUUGCGUCCAAAUUGAUUUCAUGGUAUGUUCCAUGCAAACGUGCACCUAUCUUUCCUAAAGAUUGGCACUACCUCCAAACAGACCAAACCAAGCCUCCACUUGCGCCCCUUCACCUAGGAGUACCAUUGGGUGUGUCCAAAAUGGUUUCUUAGCCAAUGGUGCAUUAGACGCAAACCAUGCACCUAUUUUGCACCGAAACUAACAUUGUCUGCAAAUGGACCAAAGCAAGAUUACAUAUGACACACAUCAUCUAGGAGUUCCAUCGAGUGCAUCCAAAUUGAUUUCCAAGCAUAUGAUACGUUCCAUGCAAACCGUUCAACUAUCUUGCAUCAAGAUAGCACUAUCUCCAAACAGACCGAACCGAGCUUCCACUUGAGCCUCUUCACCUAGGAGUACUGAUGAGGACAUGAGUACCAUCAAUAGAAGAGGACAAGCUUGAGUCGAGGACGACUCAAAUGCAAGAAGGGGAGGAUGAUGAGGACAUGAGCACCAUCAAUACAUCCACGCCUCAGAUUCAUAUGCAUGAUAACUCAACUAUCUAGAAUAAUGAGGAGGAACCGCAAGGAAGCAUAUUCGCGAUGGGCUAAAUUUGGACUGCAGAAGGGUCUCAACUUGUGGUGGCCACCAAGACUACAUACGGUCACCGAUUUUGAUGUUCAAAUACAUGGUUGAAAGCUUAUGAAGUCUAUUUUCACAUGGAUCCAGUCCCAUGUCCAUAUCUAUAAUGAGGCGGCCGCAAUCGUCGAGUUACUCUAGAGACCUUUCUGUGGACAGCUUCAUUCAAUAAGAAACUCCAUGCAUGCAUGAUAUGGAUAUUAUUGUUUUCUUUUGUUUUUAGUGAGUCGAGGGAUUAGCACCGCACACUCUGGUUGCUCUCUCUUGUACGUAAAGGCUUCUACAGCCAGAGACACAAGGCGGGUUUUGUUUUGUUGUGAGUUUAGCCAUUGCUACUUCCUUGUAGACGCAUGUGUUGACUAGACCAUCCGUUCUACUUGAUUCAAAACCCCAUAUUGUUAUCGUGAUUCAUAUCAGAUCCUUCUUGUAUUAUUUGGCAAUUGAGUGCCUGUUCUACCUGUUCUUGCAUGUUCUUCAAUUGCGUGCAGGAAUUACCCUAGUGGUUUGGUUGGUUGUGAUCAACAAGAUCGUGAUCAACCGCUGGAAUUGGUGUAUCGAUCGCUAAGGCGCAGCGUCCUUGGACGGUUGUAGUCGGAUCGUGAACGUCGCUCCAGAGAGAUCGAAGUUAUCCAUCUCCACCGAAAGAUCGGGACACCCUCGUUCUUAUUAUGUGGCAUCAGAUCAAGGUUUCAUCGGUGAGAGAAUUUAGUUUGCAUUUUUUCCUAUUGCCUAGAAAAAGCCAAGAAAAAUAGUACUUUCAUUUCUAUCAUCCUAUAGACCCUUUGAGCCUUUUACUAGUACUACUUAGUUCAGGCUUGUUGUGUUUGAUUUACAUCGGUUGAGUCGAGUUGCUGGUCUUAGGUUUAGACUUUUAGAGUUUCGAGUUUUUGUCACGUUUUAGUCAUUGCCCAUCGUAUAAUCUCCGCUGCAAUCACUAUUACCAUAUACAUUUGGACUACACUAUAUAUAUCUGAACUACCAUCACCACCCUACUUGGGCACCGUGUAAACUCCAUCCACCACUCUAUUUUCACUCAUGCGCACCCUAUAUUUUUAGGCCAUUGCAUGCACGUUUUCACUUCCACCCGUGAGCAACCUAUUCUUACUCACUGCCACCUGCAUGUUCCUUUCUUCCAUUCAUACAUCCUAUUGUAAGCGCUCUUGCACAUUCUAUAAUCAGCAUCCUAUUUUUAAUCAGCAUCCUAUUGCAACCACUAGAUUCAUUCCACUCUUGGGCAUCUAAUUUUAGAACAUUGCAUCCUUGUCCACUUCAUGCGCAUCCUUUUGCCUCUCCUCCACUCUUCUUUCACAUUCUAUUUUUCUCAUCCCCGUUGCAAUCAGUGUUACUGCAGCAUCAUAUCACCAUCAUAAUCUGCUAGUUGUAUUUUUGUUACACUAAAGACAUUGUGUGUUUUCUAAAAUCUAAUCCAUCAAGAUUCAGAUUUAUUUUAGUUGAGCAAAGUAGGAAAAAAAUAGAAAGAAACAAAAAAAUAUCAGAAAAAAAGAAAAGAAAAAGGAAACAAAAGAAAAAAAAAGGAAACAAAAGAAAGGAAGAGGAAAAGAAGGGAAGUUAUCUCUUGUUGUUCUUAUUAUUCUUGUGAUAUUGUGACUUCAUCUGUGCCCAGGCUCGCGUCUCUAGCACGGUCUAGCCUAGGACCAGCACAGUGCCACCGUUGAAUGAUUUCUCAACAUGCUUUUGUGACUAAUGUGGUGCUAGUACUUCCUUGUGCAAUAUAUAGAGCCAUCCUAUAACUCCACAUAUUAGACUACAACUUGACAAGUGUUGUUGCUGCAGCGUUGAUACACCAUUUUCUAGGUUUUCUGACUUGUUGGUUCCUGCCACCUCCUGUUUCGCUUGGUAAGAACUUGUGAGAACUUGUUUGCAUAGGGUGAGAUUGAAAUAAUUACAACAACCACAUCCUUGUAGUUGAUAGGAGCAUAAAGAUUAUUGCGUAUGUCUCUUGUUUUGUUCUAAUCAUGGCGGGAAUCCACAUAGAAACAAGCGAUAAUCAGAUUGCAUGUUCACAUCACUUUGCUAAAGGUGUGGCAAGUGAUAAGUAUGGCACUCAUGAGGUAUGUGAUGUUUUGCUAGAUGAAAUAAAAUCUACAUUACCUUAUUUUGAAGGAAAUUGUGAUCCACAUGCAUAUAUUAAAUGGGAGCUAAAUGUAGACAAUGAAUUUAAAAAGCAUAAUCUAUUUGAAAGCCAAAAGAUUAGAGUUGCUUCCAGUGUUCUUACUGAGUAUGCUUUAAGUUCAUGGAAAUAACUUUGUAGAUUUCAUAAAGCUCCUCAAACAUGGAAAGAUGUGAAAAGACAUUUUAGAGAUGUUUUUUUCCUUGAGUACUAUUCUGAAAUUUUGUUUAAAAAACUACAAUCUAUAAAGCAAGAAAACAAAACCGUAGUGGAAUAUUUGGAUAAACUAAAAUUGUGUGUGCUGCGAUGUGGAUUAGAAGAAACUGAUGAACUUUUGGAACAUAGAUUUCUGCAAGGUCUUAAUGUACAAAUUCAGAACAUUCUUGUUGAUAAGUAUUAUAACACCUUUGAUGAAUUGUUUGAUCUUGCUUGUGAGUUAGAAAGGGAUCUCGCAAGUAUUAUAGAAGUAUGUGUCUCUCCUAUUACUAAUAAUUUGCAGCAACAAGAAGACAACAUACACAUGGAAAGCGUGCAACUUGAGAUACUAGAUUAGUCAUUUAAAGAGAGCGUAAAUCUAGCUGCACCCACACCAUUUCAACACAGCAUCAAAGGUAAAUUAGAUGGUGGUAACAUAAAUCAAGGUGACCUUGCAUUAGAUGAGCUGCAUUUGUCCACUAAUGCUGCUAACCUAGAGAAAACAAUUAUGGAACCAAUUACUAAUUUUCCUUUGUCAAACUUCGAUAUUCCUGAUGUUCCUAGUGACAAAGAAGAGUUGUGCAAUAGUGCAUCACCUAUAUCCAUGCCACAACUAGUAUACAAAGAAAAGAAUUCUGAAUCAAUGAGUGUCGAAUUCAAGCAUGUUAUUAAUAUUGUAAAUGAAAAUGAAGAAGCUCAAUUGUUGUCAUCUUUACAUAUAAUGGGGUACAUUGAAUUCGAUGAUCUUUGUGAGCUUAGCUAUUUAGAGAAUAAUCAGUUUUCUAGAUUUGAAUUGUCAUGCUCUUCCAAUGUUAGUUUUCAUGCAAUUGGCAAAUAUAAUUAUGCAAAGGAGUAUAUGGUACACCAAAUUUACAUUUAUUCAAACAGAAAAUCUCCUUUUAUUGUGAAACAAUAUGACCAACUAGAAGUGUGCAAUAACCAUAACCAUGUCAUGGCGGGUUUGCCUAGUUUUCUUAUGAUGGAACAGGGAAAGUAUCAAGCAGGAGAGCAAGGUUCAUCAAUUCUGACAACACAUGGUCCACCAAUGAUUAAACCGAGGACGGUUUGCUGUCAAGAAGGAGAGAAUGAUGAGGACAUCACCUGCUCCGUAAUACUUACAUGGAUCAGGAGAAUAUUUGAUUGCAUAUUGAAAGUAUGGAUGGUGAAUGAAGUUGAUUGGGGACCAUUAUGCCCUACUUGGGAGAAGAGGACAAGCUUGAGUCGAGGACGACUCAAAUGCAAGAAGGGGAGGAUGAUGAGGACAUGAGUACCAUCAAUAGAAGAGGACAAGCUUGAGUCGAGGACGACUCAAAUGCAAGAAGGGGAGGAUGAUGAGGACAUGAGCACCAUCAAUACAUCCAUGCCUCAGAUUCAUAUGCAUGAUAACUCAACUAUCUAGAAUAAUGAGGAGGAACCGCAAGGAAGCAUAUUCGCGAUGGGCUAAAUUUGGACUGCAGAAGGGUCUCAACUUGUGGUGGCCACCAAGACUACAUACGGUGACCGAUUUUGAUGUUCAAAUACACGGUGGAAAGCUUAUGAAGUCUAUUUUCACAUGGAUCCAGUCCCAUGUCCAUAUCUAUAAUGAGGCGGCCGCAAUCGUCGAGUUACUCCAGAGACCUUUCUGUGGACAGCUUCAUUCAAUAAGAAACUCCAUGCAUGCAUGAUAUGGAUAUUAUUGUUUUCUUUUGUUUUUAGUGAGUCGAGGGAUUAGCACCGCACACUCUGGUUGCUCUCUCUUGUACGUAAAGGCUUCUACAGCCAGAGACACAAGGCGGGUUUUGUUUUAUUGUAAGUUUAGCCAUUGCUACUUCCUUGUAGACGCAUGUGUCGACUAGACCAUCCGUUCUACUUGAUUCAAAACCCCAUAUUGUUAUCGUGAUUCAUAUCAGAUCCUUCUUGUAUUAUUUGGCAAUUGAGUGCCUGUUCUACCUGUUCUUGCAUGUUCUUCGAUUGCGUGCAGAAAUUACCCUAGUGGUUUGGUUGGUUGUGAUCAACAAGAUCGUGAUCAACCGCUGGAAUUGGUGUAUCAAUCGCUAAGGCGCAGCGUCCUUGGAUGGUUGUAGUCGGAUCGUGAACGUCGCUCCAGAGAGAUCGAAGUUAUCCAUCUCCACCAAAAGAUCGGGACACCCUCGUUCUUAUUAAGUACCAUCGGGUGUGUCCAAAAUUGUUUCUUAGUCUAUAGUGAACUAGGCGCUAACCGUGUACCUAUCUUGCACCGAAACUAACAAUGUCUCUAAACAGACCGAAGCAAGAUUCCAUAUGACACACAUCAUCAAGGAGUUCUAUCAGGUGCGUCCAAAUUGAUUUUUGAGCAUAUAGUACGUUCCAUGCAAACUGUGCACCUAUCUUGCAUCAAGAUUAGCACUAUCUCCAAAUGGACCAAACCAAGAUUUCACUUGAACCCCUUUACCUAGGAGUACCAUCGGGUGCAUCCAAAAUGCUUUCUUAGCCUAUGGUGCAUUAGGCGCAAACUGUACGCCUAUCUUGCCCCAAAACUAACACUGUCUCCAAACGGACC